rnacentral:rRNA from 1 species
GAUGAACGCUGGCGGCGUGCCUAAUACAUGCAAGUCGAGCGAACGGACGAGAAGCUUGCUUCUCUGAUGUUAGCGGCGGACGGGUGAGUAACACGUGGAUAACCUACCUAUAAGACUGGGAUAACUUCGGGAAACCGGAGCUAAUACCGGAUAAUAUUUUGAACCGCAUGGUUCAAAAGUGAAAGACGGUCUUGCUGUCACUUAUAGAUGGAUCCGCGCUACAUUAGCUAGUUGGUAAGGUAACAGCUUACCAAGGCAACGAUGCAUAGCCGACCUGAGAGGGUGAUCGGCCACACUGGAACUGAGACACGGUCCAGACUCCUACGGGAGGCAGCAGUAGGGAAUCUUCCGCAAUGGGCGAAAGCCUGACGGAGCAACGCCGCGUGAGUGAUGAAGGUCUUCGGAUCGUAAAACUCUGUUAUUAGGGAAGAACAUAUGUGUAAGUAACUGUGCACAUCUUGACGGUACCUAAUCAGAAAGCCACGGCUAACUACGUG